UCCAGGGUAGCCUAGUGGACAUGGCAUCUGGCCGGUAAGCGGAACAUUGUGGGUUCGUUUCCCAUCCCUGGAC
rnacentral:tRNA from 1 species